UGGGGAAUUUUGGACAAUGGGCGAAAGCCUGAUCCAGCAAUGCCGCGUGUGUGAAGAAGGCCUUCGGGUUGUAAAGCACUUUUGUCCGGAAAGAAAUCCUUGGCUCUAAUACAGUCGGGGGAUGACGGUACCGGAAGAAUAAGCACCGGCUAACUACGUGCCAGCAGCCGCGGUAAUACGUAGGGUGCAAGCGUUAAUCGGAAUUACUGGGCGUAAAGCGUGCGCAGGCGGUUUGCUAAGACCGAUGUGAAAUCCCCGGGCUCAACCUGGGAACUGCAUUGGUGACUGGCAGGCUAGAGUAUGGCAGAGGGGGGUAGAAUUCCACGUGUAGCAGUGAAAUGCGUAGAGAUGUGGAGGAAUACCGAUGGCGAAGGCAGCCCCCUGGGCCAAUACUGACGCUCAUGCACGAAAGCGUGGGGAGCAAACAGGAUUAGAUACCCUGGUAGUCCACGCCCUAAACGAUGUCAACUAGUUGUUGGGGAUUCAUUUCCUAGUAACGUAGCUAACGCGUGAAGUUGACCGCCUGGGGAGUACGUCGCAAGAUUAAAACUCAAAGGAAUUGACGGGGUCAUA
rnacentral:rRNA from 1 species